GCAAGGCUCUCUCAUGAUCAAGGAAGAUAUUAGGCCUCCAUAAGCUCCCGUAACCCACGAAACCCGAAACUUCCUCAGUCCACCCCGUCUUUCCCAUUCGGGAUCUUUCCUAUUGUGUGUUCUUCGCCGCCUUUCUCACCCCACCGACUGCUCUUCCUUUGAUCCGCUAGCAACUUCAAUUGUGAUCUUCCGCUCCUUGCUCUGCAUCGUCGCGCGUUUGACCUGUUUCAAUCGCACCAAAAAGCUUUAAUUUUUGCCACUAUUUAUCGACGUCUUUUUCUCUUCAUCGCCUUUCCUCUGUCGCAACCCUUCGCAGACCUAUCUGUUUGAAACUAAUCCGAAAGUGCGAGUAUUCAGUUCAUAGAUGUGGAGGAUCUGCGAGUUUCUAGCCUCUCACAGUCGUCUUCUGCAAUCAUGCGAGUAAGACUAGGUAUUAGCUUUCUUCAAAUCCAGGUCUUGAGUGCCCCGACCACUUCCUUGGGUGGGUACUGAAAUGGUGAGUCCCCAGAAUUCGAAUGUUUCAUCGAUGCCGCCUACUCAACAAGCGUAUAAGUAUGGGAUCACGAAACCCAUCUCUCUGGCCGGCCCCACCGAGGCUGAUAUUCAUCGUAACAUGCAAUUGGAGAAGUUUCUGGUCGAUGCCGGGCUUCAUGAGAGCAAAGAAGAAGCUGCAAAGAGAGAGGAAGUUUUAUGCCGCCUUGAUCGGAUUGUAAAAAGCUGGGUGAAGCAGCUGACCCGCCAGCGAGGCUAUGCAGACCAGAUGGUGGAGGAUGCAAAUGCUGUCAUUUUCACGUUUGGUUCUUAUCGACUUGGGGUACAUGGACCUGGAGCUGACAUAGACACCCUUUGUGUUGGCCCUUCCUAUGUAAAUCGAGAGGAAGACUUUUUUAUCAUUUUGCAUGACAUCCUUGCUGAUAUGGAAGAAAUCACUGAACUUCAACCAGUUGCCGAUGCUCAUGUACCAGUAAUGAAGUUCAAGUUCCAGAGUAUAUCUAUUGAUUUGCUUUAUGCUGGUAUAUCUCUUUUGGUUGUUCCAGAAGACUUGGAUAUUUCUAGUGUGUCUGUGCUGUAUCAUGUUGAUGAACCUACUGUUAGAAGUCUUAAUGGCUGCCGAGUGGCAGAUCAAAUUCUUAAACUUGUUCCAAACGUUGAGAACUUCCGAACCACCCUGAGAUGUUUGAAGCAUUGGGCUAAAAGGCGUGGUGUUUAUUCAAAUGUUAUUGGAUUUCUUGGCGGUGUGAAUUGGGCUCUUCUAGUUGCUCGAGUUUGCCAGCUUUAUCCUAAUGCAAUUCCUAGCAUGUUGGUUUCUCGGUUUUUCAGAGUAUAUACACAAUGGCGGUGGCCAAACCCUGUGAUGCUAUGCUCUAUAGAAGAGAAUGAUCUGGGCUUCGCCAUAUGGGAUCCUCGUAGGAAUCCCCGGGACAGGUUUCAUCAUAUGCCAAUAAUUACCCCCGCAUAUCCUUGCAUGAAUUCCAGCUACAAUGUCUCUGCAAGCACGCUUCGUGUUAUGAUGGAUCAGUUCCAGUUUGGCAACAAGAUAUGUGAGGAAAUAGAGCUUAACAAAGCCGAGUGGAGUGCUCUUUUUGAACUGUAUUCUUUUUUUGAGGCGUACAAAAACUACUUGCAAGUUGACAUAAUUGCAGCAGAUGCUGAUGAUUUGCUAGCAUGGAAGGGCUGGGUAGAAUCCCGGUUGAGGCUGCUCACCCUGAAGAUAGAGAGGGACACCAAUGGGAUGUUGCAGUGUCAUCCUAAUCCACAUGAGUGUACUGACACAUCCAAGCCUGGUCCACAUUGUGCAUUUUUCAUGGGCUUGCAAAGAAAAGAGGGAAUAAGAGAUCAAGAAGGACAGCAAUUUGAUAUACGUGGAACAGUUGAUGAAUUUAGGCAAGAGAUAAACAUGUUUAUGUAUUGGAAACCAGGAAUGGAAAUUUAUGUUUCUCAUGUUCGUCGAAAGCAGCUCCCUGCAUUUGUUUUUCCGGAUGGUUAUAAGCGUAUUCGAAUGUCAAGGCAUCUGAAUCAUUUGGCUGAAAAAGCAAGCAGGGAUGCCACAAAGUGCUACUCUGAGUCUGUUGAAAGGUGCAUCAAGAGGAAAAAUGAUACUGAAACAGAUGUGAAGCCAGUAAAACGAGAGAAGCAAGCCUCUAUUAGUCCCCAGAGGUUGGAUUCUGCUUUCCCUAAGUGUAGUAAUAGUAGAUCAGGUGGUAUUUCUCAGAUGAGUAUUGAUUUAAUUGAAGGGUCUAAAAUAGACAGUUCAGUAAACAAGGAUGAAGAUGGAAAUUUGGAAAUUAAGUCACCUGGGAGACACCUAGGAGGUGGAACCAUUAAUCUAGGCAGUCUCACAGAGAGAAAUGGAACACGUAUAGUUGAUUCCAAACUUGAUAAGAUGCAAUCAGAAAGCCCUGAAGUUCAGAAUGAGAAUGGUAUAAAUGAGGACAAGGAUCGGGAUCAUGAUUUAGAUUGUUUGGAACGUGCCAACUAUGUGUCAAGUGCCAGCACCCAGAACCUCAACUACGAGGUGAGUUUCUUCAUUUGAAGGCAUAUUAUGGAUUAUGGAUUAGGGACUAUUGUGGAUGGCUGUGGGAUAACUCAGGCAGUGGGAUAGCUGAGUCUGGGAGACAGUGAGGGUCAGGGAUCUUUGCAGGGUGAUGUUUAAGUGGCAGGCCCAGAUUCCAUUUUGAAGAGUGAUUGUUUAGAUGGGAAUACCGUAUUUCAAAACAGAAUGGCUGAAGAAUCAAGGUCCUGCACCACUAUACGUGCUAGCCAACCUGAUUUGUUUUGUAUAUAGAGGGCUCAGAGACAAGACCUGACUUUUUGUUUCAUUUUCUCUGUUUUUUUUUUUUAAUAAAGAUUUUUGCAUGCAUGGUGAUCCAAAUCUUAUGCUUUCUAUUGUUUUCCUGUUGUGUAUAGCCACCAGAUCCCAGAAUCAGAAGUGUUGUAUAACCACGAGGUGGAGCGAAGGCAGAAACUUUGCAGAAGCUAGUGGCAAGGCAUGUUUUUGAACUCUUCAGUGUGAAUUAGUAUAUCUUCAUACUGUCCUGUUUGGUUUUUGUGUCUUUUUGUAGGAAAUGAGUCUCAAGGAGUCACAUGAUGGAUGUAUGGGAGGAGAAUGGUUUAAGUCUGCCGCCUUAUGCUGAGUUUGGGUUGUUGUAGCCCCGAGUGUGGUUGGAAGGGUGCAUGUGAAGUUUGAACAGUGUGAUGGUGUAAGAUAUUGGGCUUUAGGGGAGGGAGCUGUGAUGAUCAUUUUUGUACAUAGAUGAGAAGCGUGACGGAGUUGCACAAAAUGUCUCAUCCUUUAAACCAUGAAACUCGGUUUCAUGUUCAAAGCACUGACUUGUUUUGUUGUGGUGUUCAUUGAUUUGUUAGGGUCGGAACUUGGUUUGAUUGGUGUGAUAUGGUUGAUGCAUCGUGUAAAUGUAUCCAAAAAGUCAUUACGUCAAUGUGAAUUAGAAAGAGGACGACAGGAAAUCAGUGGGAAAGGCACUGGAUUAAAGUCCAAGUCACAUUUAGGGGGUCGGGAUUAUCAUUUUGCUCUUGGCCAUGUACAGAGCCGGUUUUCAAUUAAGUGAAUAACAAUCUUGUAAAAUGUUGCUGUAUUUUUCACCAAUCUUUGCUCUCCUUUAAAGGGAUAGCACCAUCUGGCCUUUUCAUUUU